rnacentral:rRNA from 1 species
AGCGAGAUCCUUGAAGGGCGAAGCGGGGAAGGGUUCCACGCGAACAUUGAUUGGGCGUGGGUGAGUCGUUCCUAAGCCGAGUGGCGAUUGCUAAGUAGCGGCGAAAGGGAAGCGGGUUGACAUUCCCGCACACGGAUGUGGAGGCGGCGACGCAUUAUUGGGGCGAACACGCUGGCGACGGCGCUGGGCAGAGUUGUCUUUUCUGUUUGACCGUUUUGCACACGCGGUGUGGAAUCCGCUUGGCGGGAGAAACACGCGUGUGCGGGCAGAGCGCCGGGGCUUUUCCGGCGUCCAGCUCGCCGUCGACGGCCCUUGAAACUUUGCCUGCUGAUUCAGAUCCACGCCGUGGCGUACCGAUCACCGCAUCAGGUCCCCGAGGUGAACAGCCUCUGCUCGAUAUGAAAAAUGCAGGUAAGGGAAGUCGGCAAAUUAGACCCGUAACUUUGGGAAAAGGGUUGGCUCUAGUGCUGCGUGGGAGUGGUUGUCGGAUGUUGGCGUUUCCGGCGUGGCGAUUUGGCGCGGGGUCCGCAAGGAACCUGUUCCGAUUGCUAUGCUGGUUGCGGCACAGCCGACGACGCCCACAGCAUGCAGCAGACUAGAACUGCAACGGGCAAAGGGAAUCCGACUGUUUAAUUAAAACAAAGCAUUGCGAAGGCCGUGGCCGGUGAUGACGCAAUGUGAUUUCUGCUCAGUGCUCUGAAUGUCAAAGUGAAGAGAUUCAAUCAAGCGCGGGUAAACAGCGGGAGUAACUAUGACUCUCUUAAGGUAGCCAAAUGCCUCGUCAUCUAAUUAGUGACGCGCAUGAAUGGAUUAACGAGAUUCCUACUGUCCCUAUCUGCUUCUAGCGAAACCACAGCCGAGGGAACGGGCUCGGCGAAAUCGGCGGGGAAAGAAGACCCUGUUGAGCUUGACUCUAUUCUAAUUUUGUGAAGCAAGUUGGGAGGUGUAGCAUAGGUGGGAGCGCUUGCGCAACCGUGAAAUACCACUACUCCCAGUCUUGCUUUACUUACUGGGUUGGUGUGGAUGAGCCUUACGGCUCUAUUCUGGAACCAACGUGCUUUUGCGCGGACCACAGCCCAGCACACAUUUAGGAGGGGAGUUUGGCUGGGGCGGCACAUCUUCUACAAGACAACGAAGGUGUCCAAAGAUGAGCUCAGUGAGAACAGAAAUCUCACGUAGCGCAAAAGGGUAAAAGCUCGUUUGAUUUUGAUUUUCAGUGCGAGUCGAAAACGCGAAAGCGUGGCCUAUCGAUCCUUUCACUAUUCGAGAUUUGAAGCGAGAGGUGUCAGAAAAGUUACCACAGGGAUAACUGGCUUGUGGCGGCCA